rnacentral:rRNA from 1 species
UAAGGGCGCACGGUGGAUGCCUUGGCACUAGAAGCCGAUGAAGGACGUUACUAACGACGAUAUGCUUUGGGGAGCUGUAAGUAAGCUUUGAUCCAGAGAUUUCCGAAUGGGGAAACCCAGCAUGAGUUAUGUCAUGUUAUCGAUAUGUGAAUACAUAGCAUAUCAGAAGGCACACCCGGAGAACUGAAACAUCUUAGUACCCGGAGGAAGAGAAAGAAAAUUCGAUUCCCUUAGUAGCGGCGAGCGAAACGGGAAGAGCCCAAACCAACAAGCUUGCUUGUUGGGGUUGUAGGACACUCUAUACGGAGUUACAAAGGACGACAUUAGACGAAUCAUCUGGAAAGAUGAAUCAAAGAAGGUAAUAAUCCUGUAGUCGAAAAUGUUGUCUCUCUUGAGUGGAUCCUGAGUACGACGGAGCACGUGAAAUUCCGUCGGAAUCUGGGAGGACCAUCUCCUAAGGCUAAAUACUCUCUAGUGACCGAUAGUGAACCAGUACCGUGAGGGAAAGGUGAAAAGCACCCCGGAAGGGGAGUGAAAUAGAACCUGAAACCGUGUGCUUACAAGUAGUCAGAGCCCGUUAAUGGGUGAUGGCGUGCCUUUUGUAGAAUGAACCGGCGAGUUACGAUUUGAUGCAAGGUUAAGCAGUAAAUGUGGAGCCGUAGCGAAAGCGAGUCUGAAUAGGGCGUUUAGUAUUUGGUCGUAGACCCGAAACCAGGUGAUCUACCCUUGGUCAGGUUGAAGUUCAGGUAACACUGAAUGGAGGACCGAACCGACUUACGUUGAAAAGUGAGCGGAUGAACUGAGGGUAGCGGAGAAAUUCCAAUCGAACCUGGAGAUAGCUGGUUCUCUCCGAAAUAGCUUUAGGGCUAGCCUCAAGUGAUGAUUAUUGGAGGUAGAGCACUGUUUGGACGAGGGGCCCCUCUCGGGUUACCGAAUUCAGACAAACUCCGAAUGCCAAUUAAUUUAACUUGGGAGUCAGAACAUGGGUGAUAAGGUCCGUGUUCGAAAGGGAAACAGCCCAGACCACCAGCUAAGGUCCCAAAAUAUAUGUUAAGUGGAAAAGGAUGUGGCGUUGCCCAGACAACUAGGAUGUUGGCUUAGAAGCAGCCAUCAUUUAAAGAGUGCGUAAUAGCUCACUAGUCGAGUGACACUGCGCCGAAAAUGUACCGGGGCUAAACAUAUUACCGAAGCUGUGGAUUGUCCUUUGGACAAUGGUAGGAGAGCGUUCUAAGGGCGUUGAAGCAUGAUCGUAAGGACAUGUGGAGCGCUUAGAAGUGAGAAUGCCGGUGUGAGUAGCGAAAGACGGGUGAGAAUCCCGUCCACCGAUUGACUAAGGUUUCCAGAGGAAGGCUCGUCCGCUCUGGGUUAGUCGGGUCCUAAGCUGAGGCCGACAGGCGUAGGCGAUGGAUAACAGGUUGAUAUUCCUGUACCACCUAUAAUCGUUUUAAUCGAUGGGGGGACGCAGUAGGAUAGGCGAAGCGUGCGAUUGGAUUGCACGUCUAAGCAGUAAGGCUGAGUAUUAGGCAAAUCCGGUACUCGUUAAGGCUGAGCUGUGAUGGGGAGAAGACAUUGAGUCUUCGAGUCGUUGAUUUCACACUGCCGAGAAAAGCCUCUAGAUAGAAAAUAGGUGCCCGUACCGCAAACCGACACAGGUAGUCAAGAUGAGAAUUCUAAGGUGAGCGAGCGAACUCUCGUUAAGGAACUCGGCAAAAUGACCCCGUAACUUCGGGAGAAGGGGUGCUCUUUAGGGUUAACGCCCAGAAGAGCCGCAGUGAAUAGGCCCAAGCGACUGUUUAUCAAAAACACAGGUCUCUGCUAAACCGUAAGGUGAUGUAUAGGGGCUGACGCCUGCCCGGUGCUGGAAGGUUAAGAGGAGUGGUUAGCUUCUGCGAAGCUACGAAUCGAAGCCCCAGUAAACGGCGGCCGUAACUAUAACGGUCCUAAGGUAGCGAAAUUCCUUGUCGGGUAAGUUCCGACCCGCACGAAAGGCGUAACGAUUUGGGCACUGUCUCAACGAGAGACUCGGUGAAAUCAUAGUACCUGUGAAGAUGCAGGUUACCCGCGACAGGACGGAAAGACCCCGUGGAGCUUUACUGUAGCCUGAUAUUGAAAUUCGGCACAGCUUGUACAGGAUAGGUAGGAGCCUUUGAAACGUGAGCGCUAGCUUACGUGGAGGCGCUGGUGGGAUACUACCCUAGCUGUGUUGGCUUUCUAACCCGCACCACUUAUCGUGGUGGGAGACAGUGUCAGGCGGGCAGUUUGACUGGGGCGGUCGCCUCCUAAAAGGUAACGGAGGCGCUCAAAGGUUCCCUCAGAAUGGUUGGAAAUCAUUCAUAGAGUGUAAAGGCAUAAGGGAGCUUGACUGCGAGACCUACAAGUCGAGCAGGGUCGAAAGACGGACUUAGUGAUCCGGUGGUUCCGCAUGGAAGGGCCAUCGCUCAACGGAUAAAAGCUACCCCGGGGAUAACAGGCUUAUCUCCCCCAAGAGUUCACAUCGACGGGGAGGUUUGGCACCUCGAUGUCGGCUCAUCGCAUCCUGGGGCUGUAGUCGGUCCCAAGGGUUGGGCUGUUCGCCCAUUAAAGCGGUACGCGAGCUGGGUUCAGAACGUCGUGAGACAGUUCGGUCCCUAUCCGUCGUGGGCGUAGGAAAUUUGAGAGGAGCUGUCCUUAGUACGAGAGGACCGGGAUGGACAUACCUCUGGUGUACCAGUUGUCGUGCCAACGGCAUAGCUGGGUAGCUAUGUGUGGACGGGAUAAGUGCUGAAAGCAUCUAAGCAUGAA